CAGCCGCCGCGGGAAUACGUAGGGUGCAAGCGUUAAUCGGAAUUACUGGGCGUAAAGCGUGCGCAGGCGGUUUGUUAAGACAGAUGUGAAAUCCCCGGGCUUAACCUGGGAACUGCAUUUGUGACUGGCAAGCUAGAGUCUGGCAGAGGGGGGUGGAAUUCUGCGUGUAGCAGUGAAAUGCGUAGAUAUGCGGAGGAACACCGAUGGCGAAGGCAGCCCCCUGGGCCAACACUGACGCUCAUGCACGAAAGCGUGGGGAGCAAACAGGAUUAGAUACCCGAGUAGUCCCUGUCUCUUAUAC
rnacentral:rRNA from 1 species